rnacentral:hammerhead_ribozyme from 1 species
AUCUAGAUGACGUAUCCCAAAUAGGACGAAACGCGUGUCCUGUAU